rnacentral:rRNA from 1 species
GGUAGUCCACGCCCUAAACGAUGUCAACUAGCUGUUGGGGCCUUCGGGCCUUGGUAGCGCAGCUAACGCGUGAAGUUGACCGCCUGGGGAGUACGGUCGCAAGAUUAAAACUCAAAGGAAUUGACGGGGACCCGCACAAGCGGUGGAUGAUGUGGAUUAAUUCGAUGCAACGCGAAAAACCUUACCUACCCUUGACAUGUCUGGAAUCCCAAAGAGAUUAGGGAGUGCUCGCAAGAGAACCGGAACACAGGUGCUGCAUGGCUGUCGUCAGCUCGUGUCGUGAGAUGUUGGGUUAAGUCCCGCAACGAGCGCAACCCUUGUCAUUAGUUGCUACGAAAGGGCACUCUAAUGAGACUGCCGGUGACAAACCGGAGGAAGGUGGGGAUGACGUCAAGUCCUCAUGGCCCUUAUGGGUAGGGCUUCACACGUCAUACAAUGGUCGGGACAGAGGGUCGCCAACCCGCGAGGGGGAGCCAAUCCCAGAAACCCGAUCGUAGUCCGGAUCGUAGUCUGCAACUCGACUACGUGAAGUCGGAAUCGCCAGUAAUCGCGGAUCAGAAUGUCGCGGUGAAUACGUUCCCGGGUCUUGUACACACCGCCCGUCACACCAUGGGAGUGGGUUCCACCAGAAGUAGUUAGCCUAACCGCAAGGAGGGCGAUUACCACGGUGGGGUUCAUGACUGGGGUGAAGUCGUAACAAGGUAGCCGUAUCGGAAGGUGC